CAGAUAUUUCAAGGGUCCUUGAGGGCUACUGUCCUGCAGGUUUUCAAUGUUUCCUGCUUCAACACACCUAACUCAAAUGAAAUGGAUCCAACAGCCAAUUAAAUUUUGCACAAUUACUCAUUAUUUUAAGUCAGGUGGUUUUGGAGCAGGGAUACAUGGAAAACCAACAGGAUUGUGGCCCUCAAGGACCGGAGCUGGACAC